UACGUAGGGUGCAAGCGUUAAUCGGAAUUACUGGGCGUAAAGCGUGCGCAGGCGGUUCUAUAAGACAGAUGUGAAAUCCCCGGGCUCAACCUGGGAACUGCAUUUGUGACUGUAGAGCUGGAGUGCGGCAGAGGGGGAUGGAAUCCGCGUGUAGCAGUGAAAUGCGUAGAUAUGCGGAGGAACACCGAUGGCGAAGGCAAUCCCUGGGCCUGCACUGACGCUCAUGCACGAAAGCGUGGGGAGCAAACAGG
rnacentral:rRNA from 1 species